rnacentral:tRNA from 1 species
GGUCGCGUGGCGGAAUUGGCAUACGCAACAGACUUAAAAUCUGUCGCCCCAGGGGAUUGAGGGUUCGAGUCCCUCCGCGACCACCA